rnacentral:lncRNA from 1 species
GAAGGGUUUAAAACCCAUCGGGUUUAGCAUAUAGCCCUCAGGUAGAGCAUGGAGAUGGCGCUCAGCUCCGUGGGCACGCAGCAGGCCUUGGGGAUGCUGGAGUUGACGGAGUUGACCAACGUCUGCACGAUGGCGUGGUUGGUGGAGUUGAGGUGGUCGGCCAGAGGGAAGGGGCAGUCCCCGUGGCAGUAAAACGCCUGGUAGCCCGGGGGGGCCACGAUCCAAUCGUUCCAACCCACGUCGCUGAAAUCCACAUAGAGAGCGUGGCGGCGGCAGUUUUUUUUGUUCUUGCGGGAACGCUGGUGCUUGGGGCUGCGGCGGGCCCUGCGGGUCAGCGCGUGGCCUCGCCCGUCGUGCCCGAAGGUGACCAGGAGCGGCCUGAGCUGCGCCCAGUCCCCGCCGUACCCCUGAGGUAAAGAUCGGCUAAUCCUGACGUGUUUGCCCUGAUGAGUCUGUGCCUGGUGGAGGUGGGUCACCUCGAUCACCAGCCCGUGGUUGGGCUGCUUGUCCUUGGUCCACCGGAUCACGGCUGGGCUCACAUCAAAGGUCUCCCAGCGCGUCACGUUGUGGUGCACCAACCGCGUGUCCAACAGGCGCGUAAUGGCCUGCGAGCGCUCCGACAGCGGCUUCAUCACUUCGUAAAUGUUUAUCCGGUGGAAGCCCCUCUCCCACGCCGCGCUCGGCUCCUCCACCUGCUCCCGGUACAGCCGCAGCUCCGCCGACGAGAUCACCUCGUUGUCCGGCACGCUGCUGAGGUUGAAGACGAAGCGGAUCCGCGGCACUUCGCUGGGACCCGGCACGCUCUCCAGGUGCUCUGAGUGGGCGCGGGGAAGGGGGAAAGCGGGACAAAGGGACAAAACGGGAGUGCAUCGUCAGCCUCGGGGCACGCAGCCACAGCCCCGGCGCCGUUCCAGCCCGCCUUCACCUGCCUGGCUCCAUUUCCCCCCGCAUCGCAGCCGGUGCCGGAGCGGUCCCGGUGCCGUGCACUCUCCCUCCGCGCUCUGACCCUUUCCUUCCGCCUCUCCCCCACUUUGGAGGAGAUUUUCCCCCUCUGCUCCCCCCCCCAACCCCCCUCCCCCGGGUCUCCAGAGCAGCGGGGAGCACAGAGCUGCCUUGUUACGGGGCGCAGGGGGAGAAAGCGAAGCAAAUUCCAAAGCCGUAAUGAUGCGGCCGGAUUAAUAAUUCAGAUUUACUUUGGAAAAGAAACAUCCGCUAGGAAACAUUUGGAUCGGAUUACAAGGGCCUAUUGAAUAAACCUUACAAACACGCAGCUAUAAGGAUUGAUUUUUUUUUUCCUUAAGAGCAAAACCAGGCAGCGAUCGUUGGGAAGUUGAAAGGAAACGCUCCGGGGGUGGGCGACCUCCCGCCCUCCUUCACUCCCGCAGCGGAUGCACGAAGCCCACGCGAGCCCGGGAGCGACCCCGCGGCACGGGGACCGGCGGACGGCGUCGUCGAAGCGCUCCAACACCUCGGAACAGCCGCGGGAUGCGGGGACAGCAGCGGGACAGCCCGGCAGACGCUGUCACCCGCGCACCGCGCGCGUCGGGAGCGUUUUUCCUCCCGUAAAAAGCAAGAGGCGGGCACGACCCGCUCCCAAACGCAUUGGUGAGCCGCCGAGCGCUCCCGGCGCUGGGAAUUUCCCUCCUCCCAUCACUGACCUUCAUGGUGGAAGCUCCUCACGGUGUUGGCCCGGCUGGUCGAUCGCUCCGGGUACUGCAGGCUGAUCUCCUGGAGGCUCUCCUCCUCUUCUCCGGACUGGAGCCGGUAGAGAUCCAGCAUGUAACUGGGGAUGACGGCUGAUUUGCUGGGCUGGGGCCGCCUUCGCAGCCCAAACAUCUGCAGCAGAGUCGUUUCGAAACCCCGCAAGAGUUCAUGGCUUUGGGCAGAGCGGCGUCCGGAUCCGGCUUGUCCCUGAAGCUCUGCGACUUUCUUCCUGCCGGUCUCGGGGAUCAGGCUAGCAUGGUUGGUACCUCCCAGCAGGACUUGGCAUAGUAGGAUGACCAUCAGCAUUCGGUUACCAGGAAUCAUGGUGUCUCUGGGGUGUAAAAAACGCAACAACAAACGACAAGGAAAGUCAGGAUGAGAAGCGAGCCCCCCCCCGCCCCCCUCCUCUCCUCCUCCUCUUCCGAAGAAAGUUGAAAAAUACAAAAAAAUACAUGGCAAAGCGCGAUGAGAAGGAGCCGGCGGGGACAGGCGGCUCCCGGGGCAUCGCGGCCGCCGCGGGGCUGCGGGAAGGGGCGCGCGGCGCGGCGGGGCGCGGGGCUGCGGGUUCGAAUCCCGCUGCGGGACGCGGAGACAAAAAUAAAGUUAAAAAAGAAAAAAAAAAAAAAGAGAAAGAAAAAUUAAAAAAAAAAAGUAAAAUAACUAAAAAUAAUAAUAGUAAUAAAGGAUCGGCAUAAAAAAAUAAAAAUUAAAAAAAAAAGCCAAGGCGAGGAAGAAGAGGGCUGUACUCACUGACAGCAAGCAAGGCAUAUCAGCACAGUCCAUGAUUCUGGAGAGCCAGCGCGGACCCAGCGCGCCGAAAGCCUCCGGGGCAGCGGCUGCCGAGCGCCUCCCGCGAUCGCCGCCCGGGCGCAGUGCGACCGCCGCCGCCGCCGGCCCCCGUUUUCUCCCGGCCCCGCAGUCACGUGGAGCCGCUCAACCCCCCCCC